UACAGAGGUCUCGAGCGUUGUUCGGAUUCAUUGGGCGUAAAGGGCGCGUAGGCUGCGGGGCAAGUCGGGUGUGAAAUCUCAGAGCUCAACUCUGAAACUGCACUCGAUACUGCUUUGCUUGAGGACUGGAGAGGAGACUGGAAUUCAUGGUGUAGCAGUGAAAUGCGUAGAGAUCAUGAGGAAGACCAGUGGCGAAGGCGGGUCUCUGGACAGUUCCUGACACUGAGACACGAAGGCCAGGGGAGCAAACGGG
rnacentral:rRNA from 1 species